rnacentral:misc_RNA from 1 species
CUCGGUGAUUUCCUGCACCAACUUCUGGUCAGCAGCAUCCAGUGAUGGACCUUUAGGAGGCCUGGGUGGCUUGGGAGCCUUUCUUGAGUUCUUUUUCUUCUUUUUCUCUUCCAGAAGCUUCUUAUUCACAAAUGGAAUUUGCUGUUGACCCUCUUUUCCUUCUGAAUUCUUGUCUAGCAAGAACUCCACAUUCUCGUCAGCAUCCUCACCAAAUUUUGAAGAAUUCCCCAAUCCAUCAAAACCUAAAGGCCCACUCCAAACACUAUUUAAAACUUUCUUGGUUUGUUUAUUUGCUAAAACAAGAUCAUUUGUUCCAUCCUCUUCACUAGUUGUCCCUCCACUUUCAAGAUCUACUUCAGGCUCUCUUUCUCUGGAAACCAAACGAUCCAUCAUACCAGGCAAAUCUCUAUAACUCAGUUCCCACCCAUUUAUAUGUUGAAGGUUCUUUAA